rnacentral:ncRNA from 2 species
UGCUUAUCCAGAGUGACCGAGGGUCUGGCCCGAUGACGUCCGGCAACCCCCUUAGGGGAAGGUGCCAAUUCCUGCAGAAUGACUAACAUUCUGAAAGAUAAGUC